rnacentral:rRNA from 1 species
CAGCGCGAGAGAGCUUGCUCUCUUGGCGGCGAGUGGCGGACGGGUGAGUAAUAUAUCGGAACGUGCCCAGUAGCGGGGGAUAACUACUCGAAAGAGUGGCUAAUACCGCAUACGCCCUACGGGGGAAAGGGGGGGAUCGCAAGACCUCUCACUAUUGGAGCGGCCGAUAUCGGAUUAGCUAGUUGGUGGGGUAAAGGCUCACCAAGGCAACGAUCCGUAGCUGGUUUGAGAGGACGACCAGCCACACUGGGACUGAGACACGGCCCAGACUCCUACGGGAGGCAGCAGUGGGGAAUUUUGGACAAUGGGGGAAACCCUGAUCCAGCCAUCCCGCGUGUAUGAUGAAGGCCUUCGGGUUGUAAAGUACUUUUGGCAGAGAAGAAAAGGUAUCCCCUAAUACGGGAUACUGCUGACGGUAUCUGCAGAAUAAGCACCGGCUAACUACGUGCCAGCAGCCGCGGUAAUACGUAGGGUGCAAGCGUUAAUCGGAAUUACUGGGCGUAAAGCGUGUGUAGGCGGUUCGGAAAGAAAGAUGUGAAAUCCCAGGGCUCAACCUUGGAACUGCAUUUUUAACUGCCGAGCUAGAGUAUGUCAGAGGGGGGGUAGAAUUCCACGUGUAGCAGUGAAAUGCGUAGAUAUGUGGAGGAAUACCGAUGGCGAACGCAGCCCCCUGGGAUAAUACUGACGCUCAG